UACAGAGGUCUCAAGCGUUGUUCGGAUUCAUUGGGCGUAAAGGGCGCGUAGGCGGCUCAUGAAGGCUGUGGUGAAAGUCCGGGGCUCAACCUCGGAUCGGCCGUGGCGACUCGUGGGCUGGAGCACUGUAGAGGCGGGUGGAAUUCCAGGUGUAGCGGUGAAAUGCGUAGAGAUCUGGAGGAACACCGAUGGCGAAGGCAGCCUUCUGGGCCAACACUGACGCUCAUGCACGAAAGCGUGGGGAGCAAACAGG
rnacentral:rRNA from 1 species